rnacentral:rRNA from 1 species
UACGGAGGGUGCAAGCGUUAUCCGGAUUCACUGGGUUUAAAGGGUGCGUAGGCGGGCAGGUAAGUCAGUGGUGAAAUCCCCGGGCUUAACCCGGAAACUGCCGUUGAUACUAUCUGUCUUGAAUAUCGUGGAGGUAAGCGGAAUAUGUCAUGUAGCGGUGAAAUGCUUAGAUAUGACAUAGAACACCAAUUGCGAAGGCAGCUCACUACACAAUUAUUGACGCUGAGGCACGAAAGCGUGGGGAUCAAACAGG